AAUUAGUUUGCAGUUUUUCCCGUCUUUUCCGUAUUCCCGUAAAUUAGAUUGUGCGAUUAGUUUUACUGUCAAACAACUUCUGUAAUGUUUAAAGAAUGUUUUGGACGCGAAUGUAGAGAUUAAAUGCCAUUUUAAAUUUUUAUAUUCAUCUUGCGUCACAGUUAUAAUUUGAAUAGUUGUUGCAUUGGACCAGUUAAAUAAAACAGCCACAACAUUGACUCCAGUCUACGAAGUAUAAUUGUUUUGUUAGAUAUAAAACUUUCCUGUAAUAAAAGCAACCGGAAUGAGUUAAACAUAUUAGUUUGCCGUUACAACGCAUUAUAUUUGUGAACACACAACAGGUUACUGUAAAACGUUAAAAUACGUUUAUAUAUUAAUUCCAUUGAAUAAAGAAAUGCAACAAUAUAUUGUAUGUCAUGAAGUAAUAUUUUGCGUGGACGUAGAUGAGUUGGCGGUAUACGAAUAUUUCCCAUGUGGCACAAAAUUUAAGAAUGUUCUUUGGCAGUUUUUUCUUGCAGCAGAAAUUCCUCAAUUUUUUAAAAUGAACCCAUGUCAACUAUAACUACACCACAUUUGAUUGACGUUUAUUCUAGGAACUUCCGGCGCCGUGGCAUAGAGUGGUUAGCACGCCUGCCUGUAACCAUUAGGUAAUGGGUUCAAGGUUCGUCGCUGCUUCCAUUGUGGGCGUGUAUGUGUUCUUGGGCAAGAUACUUAACGGGAAUUGCUCUAACUCAGUGACCAUUAAUGGGCUGCCCGAAUAGUCGGCCUUACAUAAAAAAAAGUCCUAAAAA